rnacentral:rRNA from 1 species
AGGUCCAGCCUGCCCAGUGACAAACUUAAACGGCCACGGUAUCCUAACCGUGCGAAGGUAGCAUAAUCACUUGUUCUUUAAAUGAGGACUUGUAUCAACGGCACCACGAGGAUUACACUGUCUCCUUUUUCCGAUCAGUUAAACUAAUCUCCCCGUGAAGAAGCGGGGAUAUUAAUAUAAGACGAGAAGACCCCAUGGAGCUUAAACCCUAAUACACCCCUAAUUCUCAUAUCCUCAUAACCCCUAGGACCCUGUAUAAUCGGUUUAGGUUGGGGCGACCACGGAGUACAACAAAACCUCCAUAAUGAAUGGGACCAACCCCUUAUUUAAGAGCUACCCCUCUAAAAAUUAAAACAUUAACAUAAAAUGAUCCUUUUUUUGAUCAAUGAACCAAGUUACCCUGGGGAUAACAGCGCAAUCCAUUUCAAGAGCCCUUAUCGACAAAUGGGUUUACGACCUCGAUGUUGGAUCAGGGUAUCCCAGUGGUGCAGCAGCUACUAAUGGUUCGUUUGUUCAACGAUUAAAACCCUACGUGAUCUGAGU